CCAACAAGGAUACCUGGAGAGAUGGCACUCUCUCAGCUCUGUCCCUGUGGCGUAUGGGAGCGUAGGCUUCUGUCCUAUGACGUAUGGUCCCCUUCCACACUGUUGGAGAACAAGUUGGAUCUUCCAUGUCCACAGCCUGCAUAUUCCUACUGCUUCUCUGAGUCUUUGGGCUGUGACAGAGGAGAUAAACCAUGCAGGAAACAUAC